rnacentral:rRNA from 1 species
AUACGUAUGGGGCGAGCGUUAUCCGGAAUUAUUGGGCGUAAAGAGUACGUAGGUGGUUUUUUAAGCGGGAGGUUUAAGGCUACGGCUUAACCGUAGUUCGCCUCUCGAACUGGAAGACUUGAGUGCAGGAGAGGAAAGCGGAAUUCCUAGUGUAGCGGUGAAAUGCGUAGAUAUUAGGAGGAACACCGGUGGCGAAGGCGGCGUUCUGGACUGUAACUGACACUGAGGUACGAAAGCGUGGGGAGCAAACAGGAUUAGAUACCCUGGUAGUCCACGCCGUAAACGAUGAGCACUAGGUGUCGGGUCAAAAGGCUCGGUGCCGAAGUUAACGCAUUAAGUGCUCCGCCUGGGGAGUACGUACGCAAGUAUGAAACUCAAAUGAAUUGGCGGGG